GGAGGGUACCGGCGCUGGCCCUCCUGCCUCUACCGUGCGGUCCAAAGUGCUGCGGUUAUUCUAUGAAUCCAGGAAUCACUGGGUCGCAGGUUCGAGUCCUGCUCGGGGAGCCA
rnacentral:tRNA from 1 species